rnacentral:rRNA from 1 species
GGUUAAGUCCCGCAACGAGCGCAACCCUUUUCCUUACUUGCCAGCAUUUCGGAUGGGAACUUUAAGGAUACUGCCAGUGACAAACUGGAGGAAGGCGGGGACGACGUCAAGUCAUCAUGGCCCUUACGGCCAGGGCUACACACGUGCUACAAUGGUCGGUACAAAGGGUUGCUACACAGCGAUGUGAUGCUAAUCUCAAAAAGCCGAUCGUAGUCCGGAUUGGAGUCUGCAACUCGACUCCAUGAAGUCGGAAUCGCUAGUAAUCGCGGAUCAGAAUGCCGCGGUGAAUACGUUCCCGGGCCUUGUACACACCGCCCGUCACACCAUGGGAGUUUGUUGCACCAGAAGUAGCUAGCCUAACUGCAAAGAGGGCGGUUACCACGGUGUGGCCGAUGACUGGGGUGAAGUCGUAACAAGGUAGCCGUAGGGGAACCUGCGGCUGGAUCACCUCCUUAACGAA